rnacentral:rRNA from 1 species
UACGUAGGGUGCAAGCGUUGUCCGGAAUUAUUGGGCGUAAAGAGCUCGUAGGCGGUCUGUCGCGUCGGCUGUGAAAACUCGAGGCUCAACCUCGAGACGCCGAUGGAAACCAUUUGGCUAGAGUCCGGAAGAGGAGAGUGGAAUUCCUGGUGUAGCGGUGAAAUGCGCAGAUAUCAGGAAGAACACCCGUGGCUAAGGCGGCGCUCUAGUACGGUACUGACGCUGAGACGCGAAAGCGUGGGGAGCGAACAGG